UAAGGAAUAUUGGACAAUGGAGGCAACUCUGAUCCAGCCAUGCCGCGUGAAGGAAUAAGGCCCUAUGGGUUGUAAACUUCUUUUAGACGGGACAAAACCCCUUUACGUGUAAAGGGUUGAUGGUACUGUCAGAAUAAGCAUCGGCUAACUUCGUGCCAGCAGCCGCGGUAAUACGAAGGAUGCAAGCGUUAUCCGGAAUUAUUGGGUUUAAAGGGUGCGUAGGCGGACUAGUAAGUCAGUGGUGAAAGCCUGCAGCUUAACUGCAGAAUUGCCAUGGAUACUGUUAGUCUUGAGUACAGUUGAGGUAGGCGGAAUGUGUCAUGUAGCGGUGAAAUGCUUAGAUAGGACACAGAACACCGAUUGCGAAGGCAGCUUGCUAAGCUGUAACUGACGCUGAGGCACGAAAGCGUGGGGAGCAAACA
rnacentral:rRNA from 1 species